AAUGUUCCCCUCUGCUCAUGAAAAGCAGCCAUGAUCCUAGAGCUCUGACAGAGGCACCUAACUCUAGACUCACAAAUCUUUCCAUUCAGUGAUCAACACGGAUUCACAUUCACGAUGGAUUUGAGACAGAACUGUGUUUUUAUUGUUCUUAUUUUAAAAGUGGUGCAGUGUGAAGUGAAUCUGGAGGAGUCUGGAGGAGGAUUGGCGCAACCUGAAGGGUCCAUGAAACUCUCUUGUGCAGGCUCUGGGUUCACUUUCAGUGAUGCCUGGAUGGACUGGGUGCGCCAGACUCCCACGAAGGGGCUGGAGUGGAUUGCUGGAAUUAGAAACAAAGCUAAUAAUUAUGCAACAAAUUAUGCGGAUUCUGUGAAAGGCAGAUUCACUAUCUCAAGAGAUGAUUCCAAAAGUAGUGUCUACCUACAAAUGAACAGCUUAAGAUCUGAAGAUACUGGCAUUUAUUACUGUACGGGGCACAAUGAGAAGCCUUCAUUGUGA